UACAGAGGUCCCAAGCGUUGUUCGGAUUCAUUGGGCGUAAAGGGUGCGUAGGCGGCGCGGUAAGUCGGGUGUGAAAUCUCGGAGCUUAACUCCGAAACUGCAUUCGAUACUGCCGUGCUUGAGGACUGGAGAGGAGACUGGAAUUUACGGUGUAGCGGUGAAAUGCGUAGAUAUCGGGAGGAACACCAGUGGCGAAGGCGAGUCUCUGGGGAUGAUGCUGACGCUGAGGCGCGAAAGCCAGGGGAGCAAACGGG
rnacentral:rRNA from 1 species